rnacentral:rRNA from 1 species
UACGUAGGGAGCAAGCGUUGUUCGGAUUUACUGGGCGUAAAGGGCGCGUAGGCGGCCUCCGCAAGUCAGUUGUGAAAUCUCCGAGCUUAACUCGGAAAGGUCAACUGAUACUGCGGGGCUAGAGUGCGGAAGGGGCAACUGGAAUUCUUGGUGUAGCGGUGAAAUGCGUAGAUAUCAAGAGGAACACCUGCGGCGAAGACGGGUUGCUGGGCCGACACUGACGCUGAGGCGCGAAAGCUAGGGGAGCGAACGGG